UACGAAGGGGGCUAGCGUUGCUCGGAAUCACUGGGCGUAAAGGGUGCGUAGGCGGGUCUUUUAAGUCAGGGGUGAAAUCCUGGAGCUCAACUCCAGAACUGCCUUUGAUACUGAAGAUCUUGAGUUCGGGAGAGGUGAGUGGUGAACUGGCGAGUGUAGAGGUGAAAUUCGUAGAUAUUACGUCAAGAACACCAGUGGCGGAAGGCG
rnacentral:rRNA from 1 species